rnacentral:rRNA from 1 species
AGCGGCGGACGGGUGAGUAAUGCCUAGGAAUCUGCCUAGUGGUGGGGGAUAACGUUCGGAAACGGACGCUAAUACCGCAUACGUCCUACGGGAGAAAGCGGGGGAUCUUCGGACCUCGCGCCAUUAGAUGAGCCUAGGUCGGAUUAGCUAGUUGGUGAGGUAAUGGCUCACCAAGGCGACGAUCCGUAACUGGUCUGAGAGGAUGAUCAGUCACACUGGAACUGAGACACGGUCCAGACAUCCUACGGGAGGCAGCAGUGGGGAAUAUUGGACAAUGGGCGAAAGCCUGAUCCAGCCAUGCCGCGUGUGUGAAGAAGGUCUUCGGAUUGUAAAGCACUUUAAGUUGGGAGGAAGGGCAGUAAGCUAAUACCUUGCUGUUUUGACGUUACCAGCAGAAUAAGCACCGACUAACUUCGUGCCAGCAGCCGCGGUAAUACGAAGGGUGCAAGCGUUAAUCGGAAUUACUGGGCGUAAAGCGCGCGUAGGUGGUUCAGCAAGUUGGAUGUGAAAGCCCCGGGCUCAACCUGGGAACUGCAUCCAAAACUACUGGGCUAGAGUAUGGUAGAGGGUGGUGGAAUUUCCUGUGUAGCGGUGAAAUGCGUAGAUAUAGGAAGGAACACCAGUGGCGAAGGCGACCACCUGGACUAAUACUGACACUGAGGUGCGAAAGCGUGGGGAGCAAACAGGAUUAGAUACCCUGGUAGUCCACGCCGUAAACGAUGUCAACUAGUUGUUGGGUUCCUUGAGGACUUAGUAACGAAGCUAACGCGAUAAGUUGACCGCCUGGGGAGUACGGCCGCAAGGUUAAAACUCAAAUGAAUUGACGGGG